AGCAGAUUGACUAAUCAGUCGGAAUAUUACCGCCUGUUAUAGACUGGACUGUCGGUCAUAUGAGUCGCGAGACUGGCAGUGGACGUGCGUGGGGUUGGUAAUCUCCCAGAAUGUCCCGCUUCAAGUUCCUCCGAAAUAUCCGGCAGCCGCAGCUUCUGUAUAAGGCAAUGUCAGAUCUUCGGCAUCGUAAUAAAUGUCCCUAACGAGCGGUGGACAUCUGUUCAUCAAAGUAUCUACCCCCAGGACUUCGGAUCGGAUCGGUCCCAUAUUACCUUGGUGUGACGGUCGAUCAGCCAGUUGAGUUCAAAGUCUUCGUCGUCGUCUCCGAAAGGGUUUAUCAACUGCUCAGCGACCUAUGAAUAUACAGUUUUUUUUUGCUAAAAAUG